AAAGAUUAAGCCAUGCAUGUCUAAGUAUAAGCACUUUAUACUGUGAAACUGCGAAUGGCUCAUUAAAUCAGUUAUAGUUUAUUUGAUAAUACCUUACUACUUGGAUAACCGUGGUAAUUCUAGUGCUAAUACAUGCUUUAAGCCCCGACUUCUGGAAGGGGUGUAUUUAUUAGAUAAAAAACCAAUCGUAGCAAUACGUUUCCUGGUGAAUCAUGAUAACUAUUCGAAUCGCAUAGCUCUGCUGGCGAUGGUUCAUUCAAAUUUCUGCCCUAUCACCUUUCGAUGGUAGUAUAGAGGACUACCAUGGGUAUAACGGGUAACGGAGAAUUAGGGUUCGAUUCCGGAGAGGGAGCCUGAGAAACGGCUACCACAUCCAAGGAAGGCAGCAGGCGCGCAAAUUACCCAAUCCCGAUACGGGGAGGUAGUGACAAUAAAUAACAAUACAGAGCUUUUCAAGUUUUGUAAUUGUAAUGAGAACAAUUUAAACCUCUUAACGAGAACCAAUUGGAGGGCAAGUCUGGUGCCAGCAGCCGCGGUAAUUCCAGCUCCAAUAGCGUAUAUUAGAGUUGUUGCAGUUAAAAAGCUCGUAGUUGAACUUUGGCCUUGGCUGGGCGGUCUACUCAAUGAGUAGUACUUCUCUGGCUGAGGCUUUCCUUCUGGCGAACUAUUGUGCUAUUUAGUUAGUGCGAUAGGGAACCAGGACUUUUACUUUGAAAAAAUUAGAGUGUUUAAAGCAGGCUUACGCUUGAAUACAUUAGCAUGGAAUAAUAAAAUAGGACUUUGGUUUUAUUUUUGUUGGUUUUCGAAACCGAAGUAAUGAUUAAUAGGGAUAGUUGGGGGCAUUCGUAUUUAGCCGUCAGAGGUGAAAUUCUUGGAUUGGCUAAAGACGAACUUCUGCGAAAGCAUUUGCCAAAGAUGUUUUCAUUAAUCAAGAACGAAAGUUAGGGGAUCGAAGACGAUCAGAUACCGUCGUAGUCUUAACCAUAAACUAUGCCGACUAGGGAUCGGACAAUGUUCAAUAAUGACUUGUUCGGCACCUUAUGAGAAAUCAAAGCUUUUAGGUUCCGGGGGGAGUAUGGUCGCAAGGCUGAAACUUAAAGGAAUUGACGGAAGGGCACCACCAGGAGUGGAGCCUGCGGCUUAAUUUGACUCAACACGGGGAAACUCACCAGGUCCAGACAUAGUAAGGAUUGACAGAUUGAGAGCUCUUUCUUGAUUCUAUGGGUGGUGGUGCAUGGCCGUUCUUAGUUGGUGGAGUGAUUUGUCUGGUUAAUUCCGUUAACGAACGAGACCUUAACCUGCUAAAUAGUUGCAUUAACUUUGGUUGAUGAUCAACUUCUUAGAGGGACUAUAGACGUUUAGUCUAUGGAAGUUUGAGGCAAUAACAGGUCUGUGAUGCCCUUAGAUGUUCUGGGCCGCACGCGCGCUACACUGAUAACAGCAACAAGUAAUUCACCUUGGCCGGAAGGUCCGGGUAAUCUUCUGAAAUGUUAUCGUGCUGGGGAUAGUCCUUUGCAAUUAUUGGACUUCAACGAGGAAUUCCUAGUAAGCGUGAGUCAUCAGCUCGCGUUGAUUACGUCCCUGCCCUUUGUACACACCGCCCGUCGCUAGUACCGAUUGAAUGGCUUAGUGAGACCUCCGGAUUGGCUUAUCAUUGGUGGCAACACCAUAGAUUUGCCGAGAAGUUGGUCAAACUUGGUCAUUUAGAGGAACUAAAAGUCGUAACAAGGUAACCGUAGGUGAACCUGCGGUUGGAUCAUUACUGAUUACUGUUCCUGCAGAGUUGAUACCUUAAAGGAGUCCUCUGUGGGGAUAAUCAACCACUUGUGCACUGUAUUGUUUUUUGGGUGGCAUGUUCAAUUUGAGCUUGUGCUGCCCAGCAGAUCAAAGACCCCAUUCAAUUUGACUAAAUCUCUAUGAAAAUAGAAACAACUUUUGACAACGGAUCUCUUGGCUCUCGCAACGAUGAAGAACGCAGCGAAAUGCGAUACGUAAUGUGAAUUGCUUUCCGUGAAUCAUCGAAUCUUUGAACGCAUAUUGCACUCCUCUGGAGUAUGCCUGUUUGAGAAUCUUUAGUACUUCUUCACCCCCUCUUUGUUUCCUAGUUUUUCUAGUGGGAUUUCCUGUUGGGAUUACCUAGUGGAACGGGGAGGAAUGGUGAGAUUUGAGGCAUCCCUGGCGGCUCGUAUGAUGCGAGCAGGAAGGGAGUCUUUAAAGAGAUUGCUCUACUGGCACAAGGUGUUUGACACUCUAUAGCUACCAGCAGAAACGUAUGUGAAUGAAACCUAGUUUCUCAUUAUGCCGACUAUGCAGGUGGACAGGGUUAGUCUUGUGCAGGUGGGGUCCAUACCAUAAAGAUUGAUGCAAGUUGAUCUUGAACCUUGGUCUCAAAUCAGGUAGGAAGACCCGCUGAACUUAA
rnacentral:rRNA from 1 species